rnacentral:rRNA from 1 species
AGUGAACGCUGGCGGUAGGCCUAACACAUGCAAGUCGAACGGCAGCACAGGAGAGCUUGCUCUCUAGGUGGCGAGUGGCGGGCGGGUGAGCUAUACAUCGGCAUCUUCCCAGUCGUGGAGGUUCGCAUAGGGGCACUUAUACUAAUACCGCAUACGACCUGCAGGUGGAGGAUCGGGAUAGCACGACCUCUCGCGUUUGGCUGAGCCGAUGUCGGAUUAGCUAGUUAGCGGGGUAAAGGCCUACCAAGGCGACGAUCCGUAGCUGGUCUGAGAGGAUGAUCAGCCACACUGGAACUGAGACACGGUCCAGACUCCUACGGGAGGCAGCAGUGGGGAAUAUUGGACAAUGGGCGAAAGCCUGAUCCAGCCAUGCCGCGUGGGUGAAGAAGGCCUUCGGAUUGUAAAGCCCUUUUGUUGGGAAAGAAAGCUUGCAGGCUAAUACCCUGGGGGGUUGACGGUACCCAAAGAAUAAGCACCGGCUAACUUCGUG